CUUUAUUUACAGAAACAAGUAUCGGCCUGAUCUACCCCAGGGGCUUUAGUUUGCCGAGCUGUAAUUUAAAUCCACAUGUGUUUCCCAGGCAUCACUGCGGAGUUUGCUAGAGACUCAGAUUCUCAGACCCUACCCCGGAUGUACAACAUCAGCAGCUUGACACCAACUAUGUGCCAAGUACUAUUUCGAACUUGGAAAUACACUAAGGAACAGAGGAGACAAAAUUUCCAUCUUUGUAGAACAUUCCACUGCAAUUGUAAAAAUAAACAAAAAUAUACAUAUGGAACUCCAUGCCACUUUAUGUAUAAAGUUUUAAUGCAUUUGAAGAGCAUUAAGAAGAUAAAACUAUAUUGGCGAUUUACUAGAGUCCCAGUACCCUGAUAAUCAGCCACAUCCCUGUGCCCAGGCUGCGCACAAGGAGAGCUCUCAUGACAGUCCUAAAGAUAGAUGCUCACAUUUUCAUAAAGAUCUUUGCUCUCCCAGGAACUAAACAACAUAUGUCAGUAGACCAACUCCUGGAUUCAACAUUCAGAAAUCAAA